rnacentral:lncRNA from 1 species
CCUUAAAAUAAACAGAAAUCCUAAGAAUCAGCAAACAUAGUUAAGAAACAAAAAUGAUGAAUACAUAUGAAUUUUGACAAUCCUACUAGUAAAUGGUACAUGACAAGUAUAAACACUGACAGUUUUAUUUGUUGAAUGAUUUUCUAUUCCUAUUUCUAACACUGGUUCUGUUAUCACAAUGUCACAUUUACAAUAAUAAAUGUAGCAUUGAUUCCCAAAUUUAUAUUUUGCCUAAAAUCUGUACAUGAAUUAGGACAGAUAGAAUUAUUUUCAUAUCAGCGUGGAUAAGACCAUUUCUUGGCUUGCUCAGGUUAUCAAUUGACAAAGUCAGAUUAAGUGAACGUCAGUCUGUAACGACCAGUUGUCAUAUCCUAUGCGUUAAAGACAUUUAAAAUGUGGGGUGGUCAACAGUUCUAACCGCCUAAAUCAAAUAAUACAAAUUACAAGCAGAGGACCAAACCUUGUGCGUUGAUUUAAAUACUGAACACUUAAACUUUCUUUUUUUCUUCUCAGGCACCUGCAUGUACUUUACUCAUUUAUUCUAUUUAAAUCCUAUUGGAAGGCUUCUGACAAGGCUGAGUGAACAUAAAAAACCACUGUUAUCGAUAGACGAUGACAAACAAUUUAAAUGUAAAUGAUUCAGUAUUAUUACCAACAUAAGUGUCACACUGUUAUAAAAAUGGUUCUACUUGUUUGUAGCUCAAGUGCUAACAAAAUUAUUGAUAAGUCUAUUCCUGCAUGGUUCAAACUAAAGACACAGUAUAUCCAUAUAGUUUUCCAGUCCAAAAUUUAAAAGUUUUCCUGAUAUUUAUAUUUUGAUGGAUGCUAGAACUGCUUUUUUAAAGGUCAAAACCAAAUAUGAUAUUUCAUUAUAUGUUAAGAAAACAUAUUUAAAAAGUUAUUGAUUUUUUUUUAAACAGCUUAAAAUUGUGUAUUACAGAAUACAUGUCAACUUUAGUAUUUGAACAAUUUUAAAAUCAUGAAAUGCAAAUAAAAUUGUUAACUUAAAACAUAGUUAUUUAUUACUGACCAACUAAACAUAACCUGAAAACAGAUUGGAGGGAUUUAUACAUUAGCUCUGACCCGCGACAUUUCAAUAAAACAUAUCUUAAAAAAUCUGCUAUUAAUUUACAGUCCACAUUCAGUUUUAAUUAUUCUAUAUAGCUUAUUUAUCAAUAUUUUUUUAUAAAUUGAUGAAUCAUUAUCACAGAUUACAAUUACAUAUGAGUGUGUAGUAAAUUCAAGUACUUCCCAGCCAUAGAAUGAUAUUAUGCAAAUUCAGAAUCAUUCUCAUAAUUUUUUUCAAAAUCAGUACCAAGUCCAAAU